UCGAACGGCAGCGCGGGAGCAAUCCUGGCGGCGAGUGGCGAACGGGUGAGUAAUAUAUCGGAACGUGCCCUAGAGUGGGGGAUAACUAGUCGAAAGAUUAGCUAAUACCGCAUACGAUCUAUGGAUGAAAGCGGGGGAUCGCAAGACCUCGUGCCCGUGGAGCGGCCGAUAUCUGAUUAGCUAGUUGGUAGGGUAAAAGCCUACCAAGGCGACGAUCAGUAGCUGGUCUGAGAGGACGACCAGCCACACUGGGACUGAGACACGGCCCAGACUCCUACGGGAGGCAGCAGUGGGGAAUUUUGGACAAUGGGGGCAACCCUGAUCCAGCAAUGCCGCGUGUGUGAAGAAGGCCUUCGGGUUGUAAAGCACUUUUGUCCGGAACGAAACGGUUUGGGCUAAUAUCCCGAGCUAAUGACGGUACCCGAAGAAUAAGCACCGGCUAACUACGUGCCAGCAGCCGCGGUAAUACGUAGGGUGCGAG
rnacentral:rRNA from 1 species